AUGCUUACUGCUCUCCACGAGUUCAAUUCAUGUGUCAUGUGCAAAGGUGCUGCCGAAGAAUUUCAGAUCUUGGCAAACUCCUAUCAAGGCCCUGGUGCAUUCACCACAAAGGUAUUUUUUGCAGUGGUGGAUUAUGAUGAAAGCCCUGAGGUCUUUGAAGCGCUCCAGGUGACGUCAGUUCCGAGUUUCUUCCACUUUUCUGCCCAGUGGAAAUUUACAACAGAUGACAUUUAUAAUUUGAGAGGAAGGGAUAUCGUUGCUGACCAAAUGGCUGAAUGGGUAGCAGAGAGAACACAUGUCAGCGUCAGAAUCAGACAGCCUGCAAAUUACCAUGGUCUCCUCAAGCUGGGGAUACUUUUGGCUCUCACUGGCGGACUUGGGUAUUUCUUGAAAUGGAAUAGGAAAUCUAUUUCUUGCAGAAUCUUGUGCGAAGUUUUAACUCUGUGCUUUGUGAUUGUGAUGACGUCUGGUCAAAUGUGGACUUAUAUAAGAGGAGAACCAUAUGUCCAAAGGGACCCUCGCACAGGACAUAAGCAUUAUAUCAGCAAAUUUAGUCAGGCUCAGUUUGCAGCAGAAACAUUCAUUAUUUCCCUGUUUAAUAUGUGUGUUACCCUGGGAGUGGUGCUGUUAGAUAAGGCUGCCACCUCGACGAUGAACAUCAUAAAGAGAAGGAUGAUGUGUCUGGCUGGUACGUGUCUUGUUGCCAUAUUCUUCAGUUGGCUGCUUUCCCUCUUUAGAUUUAAAGUACCUGACUAUCCAUACAGGUUUCUCUGGGAUUAAAAAGGAUCCUACAGACAUAGACAAUGAAGCAAGAAAUUUGAAAAAAAAAAAUGUGAAGCAGAAAAAUGCAAACUCGUAACUUUUUAAAGUAAUUGAGAUUUCACCAAAAGAGACCAUAAGUGCCUUAAGUGCUUUCAAAAUCUGUGAAGUAUUAUAGUUUGUGUCUUCUCUGUUCUUAAUUUUUCUCCCCCAGUGUUAUAGAUUACUUCAAGUUGAAUUAUUAAAAUCUUUAGAGAGUACAACUUU